rnacentral:lncRNA from 1 species
GGGGUAUUUCUCAAUGCAUCUGCAAUCUUGGUCAGGGGAAAUGAUGGCCUAUGUGGCGGUAUCCCUCAAUUGAAAUUGCUACCCUGCUCAAGCCACAGCACCAAGAAGACACAUCAGAAAUUUGCCAUAAUAAUCUCAGUAUGCACUGGAUUUUUUCUUUGCACAUUAGUAUUUGCACUAUACGCAAUCAACCAAAUGAGACGGAAGACAAAGACAAAUCUACAAAGGCCAGUUUUGAGUGAGAAGUAUAUAAGGGUCUCUUAUGCUGAAUUGGUGAAUGCAACAAAUGGAUUUGCACUUGACAAUCUCAUUGGAGAAGGGAGCUUUGGCUCGGUUUACAAAGGAAGAAUGAGAGACGGUGACGAAGAUAAAAUCAUAGCUGUUAAGGUUCUAAACCUCAUGCAACGUGGUGCAUCUCAAAGUUUUGUCGCAGAAUGUGAGACAUUAAGAUGCACUCGACAUCGGAACCUUGUUAAGAUAUUGACAGUAUGCUCAAGUAUUGAUUUUCAGGGCCGUGAUUUCAAGGCCCUAGUGUAUGAGUUUUUACCAAAUGGAAAUUUAGACCAAUGGCUGCACCAACAUAUCAUGCAAGAUGGUGAAGGAAAGGCACUAGAUAUAAUUGAGAGGCUAUGUGUUGCUAUCGACGUAGCAUCAUCACUUGAUUAUCUUCACCAACAUAAGCCGAUGCCAGUCAUUCAUUGUGAUCUUAAGCCAAGCAAUGUCCUCCUUGACAGCGACAUGGUUGCUCAUGUUGGUGACUUUGGGCUUGCAAGGUUUCUGCAUGAAGACUCAGAGAAAUCAAGUGGCUGGGCAUCAAUGAGAGGAUCAAUUGGUUAUGCUGCUCCAGGUGUGCUUCUGUAUUUCUAUUAGUUGUCUACUAAUAUAUUCUGCGAUGUUGGCUUCAAUCAAAAUUUAAGGAUUUGUUGCUGUUUCGCUUCCUUAGAUAUGACAUAAGUAUGGCUCAACAUAUUUUUUUUUUAAGAAUGUAAAAGAACUGAAAUCAGUGAAAUUUCAACAAACUACAGUGCAUACCUAAAUGUAGUGCCUUGGAAAUGAACUUUGUACAAAAAUACUUUAUGAACAGAAAAUUCUUCAGAAGAAACUUUCUGAAACAAGAACUCCUGUUGGUUGGUUUCAGAGUAUGGACUGGGCAACAAAGUGUCGACCUCUGGUGAUGUCUACAGCUAUGGCAUAUUGUUGCUGGAAAUGUUCACAGGAAAAAGACCAACAGCUGGCGAAUUUGGAGAAGCCAUGGUAAUCCGCAAUUAUGUUGAAAUGGCACUGCCAGACAGAGUGAGCAUUAUCAUGGAUCAACAGCUACUAACAGAGACAGAAGGUGGCCAAGCAGGCACCUCAAACUCUAGCAGUAAUAGAGAUAUGAGAAUUGCCUGUACCAUUUCAGUUUUGCAAAUCGGGAUUCGGUGUUCAGAGGAGAGGCCAAUGGACCGCCCACCAAUCGGAGAUGUUCUGAAAGAGCUGCAGACAAUUAGAGACAAGAUUCACAUGCAUCUGUCUGGCGAAGGAGCAACACCAGUCUGCUGAAGGGUUUUGAAGGACCUUCUAGGGGAUGCCAUCUCUUGGAGCUAUCAGUCUGCCAGGUUAACUGUGCACUGCAAUAUGAUAUAUGUGCAAGUACGUGCUAAUGUGCCAUAUAGAUUAGUGUUGUAAGAAGCCUCAAUCCAGUGGAGGCCACUCAAGCUUCACAAGUGUAGCUACGAGCCUACAAUUCUUUGAUAAUCUAUUCAAUAAUUUGCCAUAUAUAUAAGGGGUCAUCCUGUUCCACGUAGAAUUGCAGUUAUGUGAGGAAAAUUAGUUCCUACUAAUGAAUAAAUCUUGUAAAUUGCAACUGUUGCGCGUGUAACAAGUGGUGAUCAUCGAUACGUCUGAUAAGGGAAGCGGAGAGGACAGAGGAGUUUUACCUCCGGCGCGGCUGAGUUCAGGAAGAGGGCAACGCAGGGGCACGGAGAUGGUGCAUUGCAAAAGCAACCCGGGGCUGGAGUCGUCAGCAGCGACGACUGCACUAGGAGGCUCGAGGCUGCACCGCGCUCCCGGCGGAGGAAUCCGAGAGUCGGGCCGGCGAGUCAGACGGGAGGCGGCGGCCGGCGGUUCGAGGCGCUGGCCGUGGCUGGCGUCCCGGCGGGGGACGGCGUGGGACGAGAAGCGGAGCAGCAGAAGCGAGG